rnacentral:miRNA from 1 species
GGUCUCACUCUGUUGACCAGGCUGGCCUUCAACUCCUGGCCUCAAGUGAUCCUCCUACCUCUGCCUCCUGAGUUGCAGGGAU